UGGUUAAAAAGCUCGUAGUUGGAUCUCGGCGGACUGAGGGCGGUUUGCUUGCUAGUAUUACUGCCCUAUAGUCCGUAGUUUUGCCAGAGGUUUCGGGGUGCUCUUAAUCGAGUGUCCCGGAAUGCUGGCAGGUUUACUUUGAAAAAAUUAGAGUGCUCAAAGCAGGCUAUUACGCCUGAAUAUUCGUGCAUGGAAUAAUAGAAUAGGAAGUCGUUUCUAUUUUGUUGGUUUUCGGAAAUCGACUUAAUGAUUAAUAGGGACAGUCGGGGGCAUUUGUAUUCAAACGACAGAGGUGAAAUUCUUGGACCGUUUGAAGACAAACUACUGCGAAAGCAUUUGCCAAGAAUGUUUUCAUUAAUCAAGAACGAAAGUUAAAGGUUCGAAGGCGAUUAGAUACCGCCCUAGUUUUAACCAUAAACGAUGCCAGCUAGCGAUCUGCGGACGUUUUUUUUGUAGACUCCGCAGGAAGCUUCCGGGAAACCAAAGCAUUUGGGUUCCAGGGGAAGUAUGGUUGCAAAGCUGAAACUUAAAGGAAUUGACGGGAGGGCACCACCAGGAGUGGAGCCUGUGGCUU
rnacentral:rRNA from 1 species